UUAAAUAUUCUUAAGAAUAUAUACUUUCUCUGCGAAGGAAAAACCUAAAAAAAAUCGGCUGGAGUCGUACAGCUUCUUUCAGAGUCGCAUACUCGCAUCCAUGGAAAUACGAAGAAUAUAUUGGAAUGGAUUUUCAAUUUUCGGAGAAAGAGAUUUGAUUUUAAAUUCAAGAUUCUUUCCCUGAAACUCGAAAGGCUUUAACCGUUUCAACAGGGUUGAACGGGGUUGGAGCUUUACCUAUUUCGGAUGAUGCUACUAAUUCACAAUCUCACUCUCAGCUUCCAUCUUGCUUAAUUCAAGAAUAGAAUUUUGACAUUGGACAAAAUGACAACAAAGAAAGGAAAGCACUCCCAGAAAAUCAGAACUAUGGAACAGGAUGGGAAGACCAUUAAACUUCAAAUUAUAAGUAAACGAAAUUCCUCUUUGCGUGUUGUUUUUAUGAUCAUGAUGUUAUUAUCUAUCUCACUGUAUAUUUGCCUGAUGUUUAAAAACUUGACAAAUGUUUUAAUGAAUAAUAUAUCUGUUACUUUUGUUGUUAUAUGAUCACAUUCUUUCAUCCCAAUAUUCUUUUAUAAAUUUGUGAUGCAUUUUUCUGUUGCAAUUGCUAAUUGUCAUUCUUGCUGUUUGGAUAUGCAGUGGGACACUGCUGGUGUUAGGCUAUUUUUAGCCUAUGUUUUGGAUCCAAUUUAUGUGCAUUUUUAGCUGUGUUGGGACGGAAUUACGCUUGUUUUCUAUGUUUUCAGGUUCUUUGGAGUAAAAGAGGUCUCGGGUGCAGAAAUUCAUUAAAAGACGUGCUGAGCCGAAGAAAAACUUAAUUUUUGAGUUUUUGCAUAUCUGGCCGCGGCGAUGAAGAGGCUCGCCGCGGCGAGUUACGAGAUACAGAGAGAGGCUGAAAUUGGCAAAUUCUCGCCGCGGCGAGAGGAAGCUUGGCCGCGGCGAGAUCCCGUACGGACCAGGGGUAUUUUUGUCCAUCGAACCCUAAAUUUCAAGUAUAAAUAGAAAACUGCGAUUGGAAGUCAGGGAGAGCGAUUUGGAACCCUAAAACACAGCUGAGAGCGGCAGGAAGAGCAUAGCGAUUCAAGUGAAGAUCCAGAAUUCAUCCUCCAACAGUUCUUUUCUUUAUUCCUCUUUAAUUUAUUUAUGUUGAAUAUUGCUAUAGGAAUGGUUAUGGAUUUAUUUCUGAACUAAAUUUCCCAUUUAGGGAGGAUGAUGAUUGUUGUUUAAUGUUUUGCCUAGUUAAUGUUUAAUUACCAUUCCUCAA